AAAUUAUCUCCCUCCGUCUCAAAAUUCUUGUCUUCAGUUUGUUAAGAAAUAGAUGUAUCUAAAUAUUAAAAUGUGACAAGAUAAAUUUACAACUAGACAAAUCUAAGAUAAGAAUUUUGAAACGGAGGGAGUACUAG
rfam:Hordeum vulgare subsp. vulgare, WGS project CAJW01000000 data, contig: morex_contig_2554769